UACGAAGGGGGCUAGCGUUGUUCGGAAUUACUGGGCGUAAAGCGCGUGUAGGCGGGUCUUUAAGUCAGGGGUGAAAUGCCAAGGCUCAACCUUGGAACUGCCUUUGAUACUGGAGACCUUGAGUCCGGGAGAGGUGAGUGGAAUUGCGAGUGUAGAGGUGAAAUUCGUAGAUAUUCGCAAGAACACCAGUGGCGAAGGCGGCUCACUGGCCCGGAACUGACGCUGAGACGCGAAAGCGUGGGGGAGCAAACAGG
rnacentral:rRNA from 1 species